rnacentral:piRNA from 1 species
UAUAAUUUUAAUGCUGAUGGAUGCUCACUA